rnacentral:rRNA from 1 species
GACGGAGGGGGCUAGCGUUGUUCGGAAUGACUGGGUGUAAAGGGCGCGUAGGCGGUGUUUUAAGUGAGGCGUGAAAGCCCUGGGCUCAACCCAGGAGGUGCGUUUCAUACUGGAACACUAGAGUGCGAGAGAGGAAAGUGGAAUUCCUAGUGUAGAGGUGAAAUUCGUAGAUAUUAGGAAGAACACCAGAGGCGAAGGCGGCUUUCUGGCUCGCAACUGACGCUGAGGCGCGAAAGCGUGGGGAGCAAACAGG